rnacentral:tRNA from 1 species
GGAGGGGUGGCAGAGCGGUUGAAUGCACUGGUCUUGAAAACCAGCAGGCGUCAAAAGGCGUCUCGAGGGUUCGAAUCCCUCCCCCUCCG